UACGGAGGGGGCAAGCGUUGUUCGGAGUUACUGGGCGUAAAGCGCGCGCAGGCGGCCCGUUAAGACAGGUGUGAAAUCCCUGGGCUCAACCUAGGAAUUGCGCUUGUGACUGGCGGGCUCGAGUACGGUAGAGGGGGGUGGAAUUCCUGGUGUAGCAGUGAAAUGCGUAGAGAUCAGGAGGAACACCGAUGGCGAAGGCAGCCCCCUGGGCCUGUACUGACGCUCAUGCACGAAAGCGUGGGGAGCAAACAGG
rnacentral:rRNA from 1 species